AGAUUGAACGCUGGCGGCAGGCCUAACACAUGCAAGUCGAGCGGCAGCACGGGUACUUGUACCUGGUGGCGAGCGGCGGACGGGUGAGUAAUGCCUAGGAUCUGCCUGGUAGUGGGGGAUAACGCUCGGAAACGGACGCUAAUACCGCAUACGUCCUACGGGAGAAAGCAGGGGACCUUCGGGCCUUGCGCUAUCAGAUGAGCCUAGGUCGGAUUAGCUAGUUGGUGAGGUAAUGGCUCGAACCAAGGCGACGAUCCGUAACUUGGUCUGGAGAGAUGAUCAGUCACAGUUAGGAACUGACGACACGGUCCCAGACCUCCGUACGGGAGCAGCAGGGUGGGAAUUAGUU
rnacentral:rRNA from 1 species